AUUCUUCGGGGUUGGGUGUGAUUCCCUACCGGUGGUAAUGAUGCAAACGGCAUACAAGUCCACGACCCAUGCAAAUGGCUGAUUUGGUGAGAUCCCAAAACCGACAGUAAAGUCUGGAUGAAAGAAGA
rnacentral:ncRNA from 1 species